UUGGGAGCUCACUGAUUUCGAAGUCAUGAGAACUCCGAAGUUAAGUGAGUUUGGGCUAGAGCAAUCCCAAGAUGGGUGACCAACUGGGAAGUUGCUCGUGAGCUCCUAAA
rnacentral:rRNA from 1 species